GGCCACUGAGAUUUCCGGGGACUGUAAGAGGACCUGUAUGAAAUGCUGCUUCUCUCCCCAAGGCUCCUGCCUUCAGCCAAGUUCCUCAUGGUUGUGACAAAAGUCCUCAAGCACAAGGAGAGGAUCUGGAAUUGGGCAAUCGGUGCUUAGAAGCUAAAGAAAAGAGCUUAUGCCAGUGGAAAAGACUUCCCCGUACAUCCCUCCACUUGGCAGCCAGAACCAUUCUGCUUGGGUGCAGGUACUAGCCUAUCUUCUGGCCUCCUAAUGUGCAGAAUUCAGCCUAAAGUCAAAUGGGCUGAAGAGGGGAGAGGUAGCUACAAACACUUAUUGGGCUGCUGCUGAAUGGAAGUGUGAAAGGCAAUCAUCAUCUCAAACCUGGAAAAAGACAAAAUGCCGGCUUCUGUCCUGUGCGCCGAGGUCCUGGCUUCCUCUGCAGCCCUUCUGGCCUCUUCGUCCUCACCGCCUGCAGGGUCUCUGCCAUCCACAGGUGAGGAGCAAGGCACAGCAGGUGUCAGCAGGAACUUCCCUCUAGGGUCCUUUCCUCUGUCCAGGACUUCACCAGGCACGCCCCGAUUACUGUGGGUUUUUUUUCCUGGUGUGAGCAAUCCUCCAGUCAACAAUCAUACAACAGGAAGGUUGGCAUUCUGAUUUCCCUAAGCUCUUAGGCACUGUCUCAGUAAUAAUUCCCCUCCCUUCUUGGUUGGGGAGACUUCCUUCCAGUCUUAGGAGCUGUGGGAAUUCCCACGUGAACAAUUUGUGAUUUGCAAAAUCAUGGUCUGAACUGCCUUCUAAGAUCAAGGCAUAGAUCGUUAGGAACUCUUUCAAAUGAUCUGGACCCAUCCCUCUGCAGCGGACAGGAGCCUCCUCCUCUGCCUCCUAAAUAGGUCUAGUCAGCAGCAGAAAGCAUGCAGCUAUCCUGCAGCCAGAGCACAUGCGGAGGCUCCUCCUGGACCCAGCACAGCAAAGGUUCCAUCCAGGACACCUUUCUCAGCAGCUUGUUUUGCUAUGGCCCAUUUUCCCCUGUGUUUUCUAGAGCAAAAUAUCUAACAAAACUAGGAUGCUCUGGAUUUCUUCUUUUUCUUUUUUGUUGUGGUAAAAUUGCUUUAUAACAUUAUAUAAAUUUCAGGCAUACAUCAUUAUAUUUCGAUUUCUGUGUAGACUACGUCAAGUUCACCACUCAAAGACCAAUUAUAUUCCAUCACCAUACACAUUUUCUAAUCACCCCUUCCGCCCUUCUCCCUCCUGAGUUCCCUCUGGUAACCAUCAGUCUAAUCUCUGUAUCUAUGUGGUUGUUUUUUGUUGUUUGUAUCUUCUAUUUAUAAGUGAAAUAGUGUGGCAUUUGGCUUUCUCCCUCUGACUUAUUUUGCUUAACGUAAUACCCUCAAGGUCCUUCAAUGUUGCACAAAUCGCAAGAUGUCAUCUUUUUUUAUGGCUGAGUAGUAUUGCAUUGUUUAUAUAUGCCACAUCUUUGUUCAUUCGUCCGUUGAUGGGCACCUGGUUUGCUUCCAAUUCUUGGCUAUUGUAAAUAAUGCUGCAAUGAACAGAGGGGUGCAUGUGUCUUUAUGCAUUCGUGUUUUCAUGUUCUUUGGAUAAAUACCCAGCAGUGGAAUAGCUGGAUCAUAUGGCAGCUCUAUUCUUAAUUUUUUGA
rnacentral:lncRNA from 1 species